AUUGAACGCUGGCGGCAGGCCUAACACAUGCAAGUCGAACGGUAGCACAGAGAGCUUGCUCUCGGGUGACGAGUGGCGGACGGGUGAGUAAUGUCUGGGAAACUGCCCGAUGGAGGGGGAUAACUACUGGAAACGGUAGCUAAUACCGCAUAACGUCUUCGGACCAAAGUGGGGGACCUUCGGGCCUCAGACCAUCGGAUGUGCCCAGAUGGGAGUAGCAAGUAGGUGGGGUAAUGGCUUACCUAGGCGACGAUCCCUAGCUGGUCUGAGAGGAUGACCAGCCACACUGGAACUGAGACACGGUCCAGACUCCUACGGGAGGCAGCAGUGGGGAAUAUUGCACAAUGGGCGCAAGCCUGAUGCAGCCAUGCCGCGUGUAUGAAGAAGGCCUUCGGGUUGUAAAGUACUUUCAGCGGGGAGGAAGGCGGUGGAGUUAAUAGCUUCAUCGAUUGACGUUACCCGCAGAAGAAGCACCGGCUAACUCCGUGCCAGCCGCCGCGGUAA
rnacentral:rRNA from 1 species